UACAGAGGGUGCGAGCGUUAAUCGGAAUUACUGGGCGUAAAGCGCGCGUAGGCGGCUUUGCAAGUCGGGUGUGAAAUCCCUCAGGCUUAACCUGGGAACUGCAUUCGAGACUGCAUUGCUAGAGUAUGGGAGAGGGAAGUGGAAUUUCCGGUGUAGCGGUGAAAUGCGUAGAUAUCGGAAGGAACAUCAGUGGCGAAAGCGGCCCCCUGGUUGGAUACUGACGCUGAUACGCGAAAGCGUGGGGAGCAAACAGG
rnacentral:rRNA from 1 species